rnacentral:lncRNA from 1 species
AAAAUACAUACACUGUUUUUGUAUUCCUGGGUUGUGAAUUCUGUCUUUCAUCUGCUAAAGCCUGUAGGGGCCGCCUAUUCAGAGAGGGCUGCUGGAGGAAUUUGCAGGGGUGGGCUUCACUCCUGUGGUUUUACCCAGCUAUGCCUCAGAUUUCCUUAUUUCAAGCCAUCCUCUGUUGAAGAUAUGGAUGAUACAGUAAAACCAAAGGCCCUUGAGAGCAGAUUGCAUGAAUAUUUUACUGUAGCCACGUUUUGAUUUCAUGACGCUGUCCAAGAAGGCACCACAGAGUGUUUUUGCUUACACAAGAAAGAACUCGCAUCAUCUCCUGGAAAGAAUCUCAGGUGAAGCAAAUGUAACGGACCAUUUGUCUAAACAGUGCUACGCUUGUGGACUUCAAGUGUGAAAACAGAUCCAAGACGCAAUCAUCCACCUCCAACAGAUUCAGGACGCAAUCAGCUACCUCCAUACUAGGGAGCAGGAUGGUGAGGGGACAGGUAUUUUGGGUGAUAUGACAACUAAUUGUAAUUAAUGUAAUUAAUUACAUGUAAUUGUAAAUGUAAAUUUACAUUUACAAUGGAUUGUUUGCAGGGUAGGUAUACAUUUUCAUGGUCCUGAUAAUUGACAAGACUCACGUGUCUGUAAAUACUGC